rnacentral:lncRNA from 1 species
UUUCUAUAAAACCUAAGAUCGUCAAUUGCAAAGGUUUGUUUCUUUUCUUCUUUUCUUAUUUCUUGUUUACACUUCUACUUCACAAUUCAAUUCAAUGAUGUAUACAUGAACCAUAUGGUUGGCUGAAAAUGCCUCAUGAAUGGGUCAUUAUAUUAUUACUUCUGUUAAGAGUUUAACACUUUGUUUAUGUGGCUAAACCUAAUUACAAACUUGAAACCUUUAUCAUCAUCCAUGAGAUGAAGGAAAAAGUUGUGUAAUAUUGCAUGACCAUGAAAAGACAUGGAUGUAAGACACAACUAAUUACCAAAAGAAUGAAAGAGGAUUUUAUUUAUUUGUUUGCUUAUUCACAUAUUAACUAAUGUUUUUGUUUUUAUUCUUGCACAUCUUUAAAUUUGUUGUACUUUUUAAAAGAAACUAAAACAGAAAAAACGUGUGUUAGUUUUCGGUAGUCUUUUUUAUUUAAUGUGAGAGA